rnacentral:rRNA from 1 species
AGCAGCAGCCGCGGGAAAACGAAGGGGGCUAGCGUUGUUCGGAUUUACUGGGCGUAAAGCGCACGUAGGCGGACUUUUAAGUCAGGGGUGAAAUCCCGGGGCUCAACCCCGGAACUGCCUUUGAUACUGGAAGUCUUGAGUAUGGUAGAGGUGAGUGGAAUUCCGAGUGUAGAGGUGAAAUUCGUAGAUAUUCGGAGGAACACCAGUGGCGAAGGCGGCUCACUGGACCAUUACUGACGCUGAGGUGCGAAAGCGUGGGGAGCAAACAGGAUUAGAUACCCCUGUAGUCCCUGUCUCUUAUAC